GUCGAGGGGCAGCAUGGAAGUUUGCUUGCAAACUUCCGAUGGCGACCGCGCGCACGGGUGAGUAACACGUAUCCAACCUGCCGAUAACUCGGGGAUAGCCUUUCGAAAGAAAGAUUAAUAUCCGAUAGCAUAUCAAGGUCGCAUGAUCUUGAUAUUAAAGAAUUUCGGUUAUCGAUGGGGAUGCGUUCCAUUAGUUAGUUGGCGGGGUAACGGCCCACCAAGACGACGAUGGAUAGGGGUUCUGAGAGGAAGGUCCCCCACAUUGGAACUGAGACACGGUCCAAACUCCUACGGGAGGCAGCAGUGAGGAAUAUUGGUCAAUGGACGAGAGUCUGAACCAGCCAAGUAGCGUGAAGGAUGACUGCCCUAUGGGUUGUAAACUUCUUUAUAUGGGAAUAAAACAGGGUAUGCAUACCCUCUUGUAUGUACCAUAUGAAUAAGGAUCGGCUAACUCCGUGCCAGCAGCCGCGGUAAUACGGAGGAUCCGAGCGUUAUCCGGAUUUAUUGGGUUUAAAGGGAGCGUGGGUGGAUUGUUAAGUCAGUUGUGAAAGUUUGCGGCUCAACCGUAAAAUUGCAGUUGAAACUGGCAGUCUUGAGUACAGUAGAGGUGGGCGGAAUUCGUGGUGUAGCGGUGAAAUGCUUAGAUAUCACGAAGAACUCCGAUCGCGAAGGCAGCUCACUGGACUGCAACUGACACUGAUGCUCGAAAGUGUGGGUAUCAAACAGGAUUAGAUACCCUGGUAGUCCACACAGUAAACGAUGAAUACUCGCUGUUUGCGAUAUACAGUAAGCGGCCAAGCGAAAGCAUUAAGUAUUCCACCUGGGGAGUACGC
rnacentral:rRNA from 1 species